rnacentral:rRNA from 1 species
UACGUAGGGCGCAAGCGUUGUCCGGAAUUAUUGGGCGUAAAGAGCUCGUAGGCGGCUUGUCACGUCGGGUGUGAAAGCCCGGGGCUUAACCCCGGGUCUGCAUUCGAUACGGGCAGGCUAGAGUGUGGUAGGGGAGAUCGGAAUUCCUGGUGUAGCGGUGAAAUGCGCAGAUAUCAGGAGGAACACCGGUGGCGAAGGCGGAUCUCUGGGCCAUUACUGACACUGAGGAGCGAAAGCGUGGAGAGCGAACAGG